rnacentral:rRNA from 1 species
AGAACGAACGCUGGCGGCGUGGAUAAGACAUGCAAGUCGAACGCGACUUAUCGUGUUAGCAAUAACAUGGUAAGUUGAGUGGCGAAAGGGUGCGUAACACGUGGGAAAUUACCAAGAAGUGGGGAAUAGCUCGACGAAAGUCGAAUUAAUACCGCAUAUGAUCGCAAGAUCAAAGCCGGGGACCGCAAGGCCUGGCACUUGAAGAGGGCCCGCGUCUGAUUAGCUAGUUGGUGGGGUAACGGCCUACCAAGGCAACGAUC